rnacentral:rRNA from 1 species
AUCGAACGCUGGCGGCAGGCCUAACACAUGCAAGUCGAGCGAGCGGCGGACGGGCGAGUAAUGUCUGGGAAACUGCCUGAUCUAGGGGGCAAACUACUGGAAACGGUAGCUAAUACCGCAUACCAUCAGUUGUGCCCAGAGGGGAUUAGCUAGUGGGUGGGGUAAUGGCUCUCCUAGGCGACGCUCCCUAGCUGGUCUGAGAGGGUGACCGGCCACACUGGGACUGAGACACGGUCCAGACUCCUACGGGAGGCAGCAGUGGGGAAUAUUGCACAAUGGGCGAAAGCCUGAUGCAGCCAUGCCGCGUGUGUGAAGAAGGCCUUCGGAUUGUAAAACACUUUCAGCGGGGAAGCGUUACUCACAGAGAAAGCACCGGCUAACUCCGUGCCAGCAGCCGCGGUAAUUC